rnacentral:miRNA from 1 species
CCUCCAGCUGUUUUGGGACUACAAUUCCCAUCAUCCCAGACCACUGGUCCUGUUAGCUAGGGAUGAUGGGAGUUGUAGUCCCAAAACAGCUGGAGG